UGCGUAGGCGGAAUAUUAAGUCAGUGGUGAAAUCCUGCGGCUCAACCGUAGAACUGCCAUUGAUACUGUUAUUCUUGAAUGUAGUUGAGGUAGGCGGAAUGUGUAAUGUAGCGGUGAAAUGCUUAGAUAUUACACAGAACACCGAUUGCGAAGGCAGCUUACUAAACUAUGAUUGACGCUGAUGCACGAAAGCGUGGGGAGCGAACAGGAUUAGAUACCCUGGUAGUCC
rnacentral:rRNA from 1 species